GAAACAUCUAAGUACCCCGAGGAAAAGAAAUCAACCGAGAUUCCCCCAGUAGCGGCGAGCGAACGGGGAGGAGCCCAGAGCCUGAAUCAGCAUGUGUGUUAGUGGAAGCGUCUGGAAAGGCGCGCGAUACAGGGUGACAGCCCCGUACACAAAAGCGCAUGUGCUGUGAGCUCGAUGAGUAGGGCGGGACACGUGGUAUCCUGUCUGAAUAUGGGGGGACCAUCCUCCAAGGCUAAAUACUCCUGACUGACCGAUAGUGAACCAGUACCGUGAGGGAAAGGCGAAAAGAACCCCGGCGAGGGGAGUGAAAAAGAACCUGAAACCGUGUACGUACAAGCAGUGGGAGCACCCUUUGGGGUGUGACUGCGUACCUUUUGUAUAAUGGGUCAGCGACUUAUAUUCUGUAGCAAGGUUAACCGUAUAGGGGAGCCGGAGGGAAACCGAGUCUUAACCGGGCGUUAAGUUGCAGGGUAUAGACCCGAAACCCGGUGAUCUAGCCAUGGGCAGGUUGAAGGUUGGGUAACACUAACUGGAGGACCGAACCGA
rnacentral:rRNA from 1 species